UUUUUUUUUUUUGGUUUGUUUUUUUGUUUUUUUUUUUUUUUUUUUUUAAUUCUUCUUCCCUUUCUUAAUAUAGUCCUAACUCAUUCAGGCAGUUCAGCUACAAAUCAGAAAAAAACAGCAAUGGGAAUUGAGGUCAGAAGUUUUCAACUCCUUCAAAAAAAUCACAUAAUCAAUGAAUGUACUGAUGCUGGUAAUACCAUUAAAAAUACUGAAAUGCAAUUAAACUCAGAAUCUUUAUCACUUAAAAAUCAACAGUCCAGGUUUCCGAGAUCAGUGCUGAUUUAUAUGUCUACAGUAAGUCUAAAAUAAACUUUCUUAGAGUAUUUUCUACACUUUACAAGUCAAAAUAACUCGAUCUCAAUCUUCUUAAUUAUAGUAAUAUUGUUAGAUUCCAUUUGAUUCUACUAAAAAUAAAUUAACAAAUAACUCUAAAACAUUUUUCCUUCAUGGGCCCCUUAUGUCCUAUUUUAAAAUUUUUAUCAAGCAUCUUCUCUAUGAUAAUUACUAUUUGAAACAGGUGAAUAGAACAUAUAAAAAGAUAGUGGCUACUUAGGGGCUAUCGGCCACAAAACACUAUUAGAAGAGGCAAGUCUCCCUAAUUUCCGUAUUUCUCAGAUGAGGUGAGAAUUACUUACACUAUGUAGAUAUCCAUGCUAGAUACUGAAGGAACGCUAGUGACCAAGGAAAACUACUGUCUUUAAAUUAACUCAAUAAAUUUCCUAAUUGGUGAUGAAGUUUAUACAGGAAAAAUAAAGAAAAUAAUGUCUCAUUAAAAUAUUUUAACUGUUUUAAUAACAUUUAACAAAAAUAGGUAUUACCUCCCCUACCCUAUGAGAGUGAAUGCAUGGUAUCACAUUGUCAUCAUAUGAGUGACUUCAUCAAAAUGAACUUUUGCUCUUCAAAAUCUGUUGAGAAUGACAAGCAAGAGAAUGGCAGAAAAUAUUUCCAAAUCACAUAUCUGACAAAUGACUUGUAUCCAACAUAUCUUAUUCCCACUCAGGCUGCUAUAAUAAAUUACCAUGCACUAAGUGGUUUGUUUGUAUGUUUAUUUAUUUAUACUAAGUGGUUUAAAGAACAUUUAUUUCACACAGUUCUGGAGGCUGUUUAAGAUUUUGGUUCUUAGUGAAGGCCCUCUUCCUGGUUUUCAGAUGGCUAUUUUCUUUUAUCACAUAGCAGAGACAGAGAAAGAAACAAUCUCUCCCCUGUCUCUUCUUAUGAGGGCACUAAUCCCAUCACCAGGGUUCCACCCUCAUUACCUAAAACCUCCCAAAGGCCCCACCCUCUAAAUACCAUCACACUGGGGGUUAAGGUUUCAACAUAAUGAAUUUUGGAAGGAUGCAAACAUGCAGUCCAUAACAAAGAACUCUCAAAAUUCAACAAUAAGAAAACAACCCAAUAAAAAAAGAGCAAAUAUUUGAAUAGAGGCUUCACCAAAAUAGUUAAAUGGAUGACAAAUCAGCAAGUAAAAAAAAAUGUUCCACACAUGAGUAACUAGGGAAAAAAUACAAAUUAAAAAUCAUAAUGAAGUACAACCACACACCUAUUAGAACAUCUGACAUUUUAAAAGGCUGAUAACAAAUGGGGGUGCGGGUACAGGGGAAUUCAUACAAAGUCCAUGGGAACACAAAUGACAAAGCCGCUUAGGAUGACAAUUUGGCAUUUUCUUAAAAAGUUACACCUUUUAAGUUGUAUUUACCAUAUGACACAUCUAUUCCAUAAAGAGGUGUUUACCCAAGAGAGAUAAAAACAUGUAUUUACACAAAAACUUAUACGCAAAUGUUCAUAGCAGCAUUCCUUAUAAUAGUCAAGAAAUGGAAACAGUAUCAAUGUCCAUCAACAGGUAAAUGUAAAUAAAAUGUAGCAUGUCUACAAGGUAUACCUAUCUAAAAGGAACAAAUUACUGACUAACACAACAUGAAGGAAUCAAAGAUCAAAACCAUGAUGUGGAGUGAAAGAAGUGACACCAAAAAAAAAAAAAAAAAAA
rnacentral:lncRNA from 1 species